UGUUUUCUAUUUAGGGAGCUUUAGCCUU
rnacentral:piRNA from 1 species